AGAGUUUGAUCAUGGCUCAGAUUGAACGCUGGCGGCAGGCCUAACACAUGCAAGUCGAACGGUAACAGGAAACAGCUUGCUGUUUCGCUGACGAGUGGCGGACGGGUGAGUAAUGUCUGGGAAACUGCCUGAUGGAGGGGGAUAACUACUGGAAACGGUUGCUAAUACCGCAUAAUGUCGCAAGACCAAAGAGGGGGACCUUCGGGCCUCUUGCCAUCGGAUGUGCCCAGAUGGGAUUAGCUUGUUGGUGGGGUAACGGCUCACCAAGGCGACGAUCCCUAGCUGGUCUGAGAGGAUGACCAGCCACACUGGAACUGAGACACGGUCCAGACUCCUACGGGAGGCAGCAGUGGGGAAUAUUGCACAAUGGGCGCAAGCCUGAUGCAGCCAUGCCGCGUGUAUGAAGAAGGCCUUCGGGUUGUAAAGUACUUUCAGCGGGGAGGAAGGGAGUAAAGUUAAUACCUUUGCUCAUUGACGUUACCCGCAGAAGAAGCACCGGCUAACUCCGUGCCAGCAGCCGCGGUAAUACGGAGGGUGCAAGCGUUAAUCGGAAUUACUGGGCGUAAAGCGCACGCAGGCGGUUUGUUAAGUCAGAUGUGAAAUCCCCGGGCUCAACCUGGGAACUGCAUCUGAUACUGGCAAGCUUGAGUCUCGUAGAGGGGGGUAGAAUUCCAGGUGUAGCGGUGAAAUGCGUAGAGAUCUGGAGGAAUACCGGUGGCGAAGGCGGCCCCUGGACGAAGACUGACGCUCAGGUGCGAAAGCGUGGGGAGCAAACAGGAUUAGAUACCCUGGUAGUCCACGCCGUAAACGAUGUCGACUUGGAGGUUGUGCCCUUGAGGCGUGGCUUCCGGAGCUAACGCGUUAAGUCGACCGCCUGGGGAGUACGGCCGCAAGGUUAAAACUCAAAUGAAUUGACGGGGGCCCGCACAAGCGGUGGAGCAUGUGGUUUAAUUCGAUGCAACGCGAAGAACCUUACCUGGUCUUGACAUCCACGGAAGUUUUCAGAGAUGAGAAUGUGCCUUCGGGAACCGUGAGACAGGUGCUGCAUGGCUGUCGUCAGCUCGUGUUGUGAAAUGUUGGGUUAAGUCCCGCAACGAGCGCAACCCUUAUCCUUUGUUGCCAGCGGUCCGGCCGGGAACUCAAAGGAGACUGCCAGUGAUAAACUGGAGGAAGGUGGGGAUGACGUCAAGUCAUCAUGGCCCUUACGACCAGGGCUACACACGUGCUACAAUGGCGCAUACAAAGAGAAGCGACCUCGCGAGAGCAAGCGGACCUCAUAAAGUGCGUCGUAGUCCGGAUUGGAGUCUGCAACUCGACUCCAUGAAGUCGGAAUCGCUAGUAAUCGUGGAUCAGAAUGCCACGGUGAAUACGUUCCCGGGCCUUGUACACACCGCCCGUCACACCAUGGGAGUGGGUUGCAAAAGAAGUAGGUAGCUUAACCUUCGGGAGGGCGCUUACCACUUUGUGAUUCAUGACUGGGGUGAAGUCGUAACAAGGUAACCGUAGGGGAACCUGCGGUUG
rnacentral:rRNA from 1 species